AUAGCGUAUAUUAAAGUUGUUGCCGUUAAAAAGCUCGUAGUCGAACUUCGGUCCCUGUUGGUCGGUCCGCCUUCUUGGUGUGUACUUACUCAACGGGGACUUACCUCCUGGUGAGCUGCAAUGCCCUUUACUGGGUGUUGUAGGGAACCAGGACGUUUACUUUGAAAAAAUUAGAGUGUUCAAAGCAGGCCUACGCCCGAAUACAUUAGCAUGGAAUAAUAGAAUAGGACGCGCGUUCCCAUUUUGUUGGUUUCUGAGAUCGCCGUAAUGAUUAAUAGGGAUAGUUGGGGGCAUUAGUAUUGCGUUGCUAGAGGUGAAAUUCUUGGAUUUACGCAAGACUAACUUCUG
rnacentral:rRNA from 1 species